rnacentral:tRNA from 1 species
GGGUCUGUAGCUCAACUAGGUAGAGCACCGGUCUCCAAAACCGGCGGUUGGGGGUUCGAUUCCCUCCGGGCCCG